AGAAUCAACGCUGGCGGCGUGCCUAACACAUGCAAGUCGAACGCGAAAGUCCCGCAAGGGAUAAGUAGAGUGGCAAACGGGUGAGUAACACGUGGGUGACCUGCCUUCGAGCGGGGGAUAACGUCCCGAAAGGGACGCUAAUACCGCAUGACAUCCUGCCUUUGAAGAGGCGGUGAUCAAAGCCGGGACGUAAGGCCUGGCACUUGAAGAGGGGCCCGCGCCUGAUUAGCUAGUUGGUGGGUAAUGGCUCACCAAGGCAACGAUCAGUA
rnacentral:rRNA from 1 species